rnacentral:miRNA from 1 species
AUAAGCUCGGUUGAUCCUAUUU